rnacentral:miRNA from 1 species
UAACAUUUACUAAGAGCUCAGA